GACGAACGCUGGCGGCGUGCUUAACACAUGCAAGUCGAACGGAAAGGCCCUGCUUGCAGGGUACUCGAGUGGUGAACGGGUGAGUAACACGUGGGUGAUCUGCCCUGCACUUCGGGAUAAGCCUGGGAAACUGGGUCUAAUACCGGAUAGGAGCCAUUUUUAGUGUGAUGGUUGGAAAGUUUUUUCGGUGUAGGAUGAGCUCGCGGCCUAUCAGCUUGUUGGUGGGGUAAUGGCCUACCAAGGCGGCGACGGGUAGCCGGCCUGAGAGGGUGGACGGCCACAUUGGGACUGAGAUACGGCCCAGACUCCUACGGGAGGCAGCAGUGGGGAAUAUUGCACAAUGGGCGCAAGCCUGAUGCAGCGACGCCGCGUGGGGGAUGACGGCCUUCGGGUUGUAAACUCCUUUCGCUAGGGACGAAGCUUUUUGUGACGGUACCUAGAUAAGAAGCACCGGCUAACUACGUG
rnacentral:rRNA from 1 species